CUUACAUAAACUUUGCAUUCUACAAAUUCAAAUUUACUAAACCGAUUCUCCCAAUCUAAUUCUAUCAGAAUCAAAAUCAAUCAAAAAAAAUGGGAGUCAAUUUUCCGUCAUCAGAUUCAAUCUCCGAUCUAGAUCUCGCAACCCAUGCAGUGAAAACAUCUUUUGAAGCCACAGGUAAUCGCGGAAGAUGUGGAGGGUAACGUUGAAAAUUAUAAGGAAGGAAUGCAAGGAUGUUAUGAAGCAUCAAAGAUAUUGAUGCAGUGAUUGUAGAGCGUACCCUUGCAAUUACGGAGUAUUUGAUCCAGAUAAAGCCAAUUCCUUUGGAUUUCAGCAUUAAAAACUAUCGGGAGGAUAUUGCAUUUUUUUUGUAUACAUAUGGGAAUAUGAAGAUGGAAGAAAACAUUAAAAGUGAUGGUGAGGUUGAGUAUAAGAAGAUGAAUGCGGAAGCGAGAACGGAAAAAAUGAAGAAAAAAAUUUAAAAUUUGUAAUUGUCUAGUAUGUGGAUUAUAGUUUUAGUGGUUUGUUUGGAUUAUUUAGUUUUAUUUUUUUGUAUGUGUAUAGGUUUGUUUUUUGAACCUAUGA